rnacentral:rRNA from 2 species
GGAUGCGAUCAUACUAGCACUAAAGCACCGGAUACCAUGAGAACUCCGAAGUUAAGCGUGCUUGGCCGAGAGUAGUACUAGGAUGGGUGACCUCCUGGGAAGUCCUCGUGUUGCAUUCC